CUCAUCAACUUAGCCAAGAAGAGGACCAACAUCAUCCCUGUCAUUGAAGACGCUCGGCACCCACACAAAUACCGCAUGCUUAUUGCAAUGGUGGUUGUCAUCUUUGCCGACGUAGCCCAGCCAGACCAAACCCGGAUUGUGGCCCUGAAUGCCCACACCUUCCUGCUGAAUGGAGGACACUUUGUGAUUUCUAUUAAGGCCAACUGCAUUGACUCCACAGCCUCAGCAGAAGCUGUGUUUGCAUCCGAAGUGAAGAAGAUGCAGCAGGAGAACAUGAAGCCCCAGGAGCAGCUGACACGGGAGCCUUAUGAGCGAGACCACGCCGUGGUCGUAGGUGUGUACAGGCCCCCUCCCAAGGCGAAGAACUGAAACCCAGAGCUGGCUGGAGUGAAGAAAUGUGUGUUGCUACCGUUGCA